rnacentral:rRNA from 1 species
UACGAAGGGUGCAAGCGUUACUCGGAAUUACUGGGCGUAAAGCGUGCGUAGGUGGUUUGUUAAUCUGUUGUGAAAGCCCCGGGCUCAACCUGGGAAUGGCAAUGGAUACUGGCAAGCUAGAGUGCGGUAGAGGGUAGUGGAAUUCCCGGUGUAGCGGUGAAAUGCGUAGAGAUCGGGAGGAACACCAGUGGCGAAGGCGGCUACCUGGAACAGCACUGACACUGAGGCACGAAAGCGUGGGGAGCAAACAGG